ensembl:lncRNA
GUUCUGAGCAGAACUGGGAGAUUUCAUUACUGGUUUGUUUCAGUACGUGUAGCAAGUAUCCAGGGCUCCACUGACAGUUCCUAAUCUAUAUGAGGGCUGCACUGAAAGUAAUGACUGUCUACUUUAUUAUGUUGGCCAACAAUGUCAGAGGUAGAUGCUGGUAGUAAGGCAGUAGGGGUUGAGCACCUCCCCUACAAGGACAGGCUGAGGGAGCUGGGCUUAUUCAGCCUGGAGAAGAGAAGGCUGCGGGGUGACCUCAUUGCAGCCUUUCAGUAGGCUAUAAACAAGAAGGGAGUAAACUCUUUGAAAGGGUAUAUAACAGCAGGACAAGGGGGAACAUUUUUAAGUUGAAAGAGGGAAGAUUUAGGUUGAAUGUUAGGGGGAAGUUCUUUACUAGGAGAGUGGUGAGGUGCUGGAACGGACUGCCCAGAGAGGUUGUGGAUGCCCCAUCCCUGGAGGUGUUCAAGGCCAGGUUGGAUGGGGCCCUGGGCAACCUGGUCUAGUAAAUGAGGAGGUUGGUGGCCCUGCCUGGCAGGGGGUUGGAGAUUCAUGAUCCUUGAGGUCCCUUCCAACCCAGGCCAUUCUAUGAUUCUGUGAUUCUGUGUGAACCUUCCCACCAAUAUUCCAUUAGAUGUUGUUGCUGUGUGACAGAUGGCAGCAGAGGGGCAGUCUGACAGAAUGGUGUCUGACAUGGAAGUGCAUAUGAAACAAAGGCAUACGCUGCACUAUUUUGAUCCCGUCUGAACUUCAUCAAUCCCACAAAAUCUUGACAUCCUGCAGAAGCCUGAGCAACGGGAUGUGCUUCUGGUGAGCAGCCGCAGAGUGGAGUCAUCAUCAAAGAGUUCAGAAGAAUCAAUCUGGAUGGUGAUGGCAGCCCAGUGAAUGGCACCAGAGCUUCUUAGCAGCAGACAGGAUCAAUCCCUCAGCUCCGGAAACCUGAUGGCCCCAUGCAGGGAAGGUUCCCUGUGCCUGCUGCCCUAGCAGGAUGCAAGGCAUACAGCAAUGCAGGUUUGAUUUCAUCCCGUCUAGACAGUGAUUAGUUGGCUAAAGAAACAAUGAGCCUAGAACAAAAUGGCAGUCUCAGCUGCUGAAAAAAAUGAAGUGGCCACCUUUGUAGUCACUCCCAAGCCUGCCUGGUGAGCAGCAUCAUCAGAUUUGUCUUCCACCCCUCUGAGAGCUGCGUGUCAUCACCUCUGCAGAGUCCUAACGUGGGCUCCUGGGCCCGUGUGUGCCACGUUGCAAUGUGCAGAGCUGCUGCCAAAACAUGAGAACAGCUGGUUUAUACAUUUUACACAGUGCAAAAAUGUUAUUAAACUGCACCAUACAGAUAAGUACUAGAAAAAUUGCUAGGUUAUUUUUUUUCACAUAAAAUUAGCCAAUUUGCUGGUGUAUGUAAUUGUAGAGAAUGCAAAGCAUCCCAUUCAAGUGAUUAACCUCUUAGUUAAUAAAAGCAACAAUCGCAUGUGUAUAAAUAAUAUAAUAAAAGGAACAUUCAUAUCAAAGUAAUAUUGCUUAUACUAUCCUGUUUCUCUCCUUAAUUAGUAAAUAAUUCAUCAAAUUCUGCAAUGAAUUGUGCUCCUACCC